AUAGGUAGAGGUUGCGUGUUUCAUCAGUAAACGGCCGGAUGUGUUCAGGCACAGGGGAAAGCCGGAGAAAGGGGAAGACGCCGAAAGAAUGCAGCGCCUGGAGCUGUAUGCUUGGGCACAGGGUGAAGAACCAUGUGACUGUCAUCUGAUAAGAUGGGGCGCUAUCGAG
rnacentral:ncRNA from 1 species